rnacentral:rRNA from 1 species
UACGUAGGGACCAAGCGUUGUUCGGAUUUACUGGGCGUAAAGGGCGCGUAGGCGGCAAAUCAAGUCAGCUGUGUAAUCUCCGAGCUUAACUCGGAACGGUCAGCUGAUACUGUUUUGCUAGAGUGCAGAAGGGGCAAUCGGAAUUCUUGGUGUAGCGGUGAAAUGCGUAGAUAUCAAGAGGAACACCUGAGGUGAAGACGGGUUGCUGGGCUGACACUGACGCUGAGGCGCGAAAGCUAGGGUAGCAAACGGG